GUACACGCUGUGACUAGCAUAUCAAUAAGCGGAGGAAAAGAAACUAACAAGGAUUCCCCUAGUAACGGCGAGUGAAGCGGGAAGAGCUCAAAUUUGAAAUCUUAAAGGGUUUCCCUUUACGAAUUGUAGUUUAAAGAAGUGUUUUCUGUUGAGGUUUUGGUAAAAGUUCUUUGGAAUAGGACAUCAUAGAUGGGUGAGAAUCCCGUAUUUGACCUUUACUUUCAACUUUGUGAUACACUUUCAAAGAGUCGGAUUGUUUGGGAAUGCAGUCCAAAAUGGGUGGUAAAUUUCAUCUAAAGCUAAAUAUUGGCGAGAGACCGAUAGCGAACAAGUACCGUGAGGGAAAAGAUGAAAAGAACUUUGAAAAGAGAGUUAAACAGUACGUGAAAUUGUCAAAAGGGAAGCGUUUGACACCAGUGUUGUUUUUCUGAAAAUCAAUUAAAGAACUGUUUAUGCUAAGUUGUUUAGACUUUAUCAGCUAACUGUUUAGUUUUGAGCUUUUCUUUAAUGCACUUUUCAGUUAACAAGUCAACAUCAAUUUCUUUUGCUGUAAAAAAGCUUGAGGAAGGUGGCUUGAGAUUCGUCUUAAGUGUUUAUAGCCUCUUGCCUAUGCAGUCGGAGAGAUUGAGGUCUGCAGCGUAGAUCCUUCGGGGCUAAAUGCAUUUGUGCUAAGUUAUAGCAUUUUAUAGACAACUUGUUGACUAUGAUUUGUCAUGUAGCUUACUCGCUUAUGUUAUUUUACCUACGCUUAGGAUGUUGAGUCGUAGAGCACGCAG
rnacentral:rRNA from 1 species